rnacentral:rRNA from 1 species
GGGAAAGAUUAACUCCAACCCAAUGUGACGUUACCAAACUGUUGCCUCGGCGGGAUCUCUGCCCCGGGCGCGUCGCAGCCCCGGACCAAGGCGCCCGCCGGAGGACCAACCAAAACUCUUAUUGUAUACCCCCUCGCGGGUUUUUUACUAUCUGAGCCAUCUCGGCGCCCCUCGUGGGCGUUUCGAAAAUGAAUCAAAACUUUCAACAACGGAUCUCUUGGUUCUGGCAUCGAUGAAGAACGCAGCGAAAUGCGAUAAGUAAUGUGAAUUGCAGAAUUCAGUGAAUCAUCGAAUCUUUGAACGCACAUUGCGCCCGCCAGUAUUCUGGCGGGCAUGCCUGUCCGAGCGUCAUUUCAACCCUCGAACCCCUCCGGGGGGUCGGCGUUGGGGAUCGGCCCUUUACGGGGCCGGCCCCGAAAUACAGUGGCGGUCUCGCCGCAGCCUCUCCUGCGCAGUAGUUUGCACACUCGCAUCGGGAGCGCGGCGCGUCCACAGCCGUUAAACACCCCAAACUUCUGAAAUGUUGACCUCGGAUCAGGUAGGAAUACCCGCUGAACUUAAGCAUAUCAAUAAGCGGAGGAA